rnacentral:rRNA from 1 species
ACUCACCCUUUCUUGCAUUUUACAGCCUAUAUACCGCCGUCACACAGCUUACCCCCUGAGGGAAAUCGAAUGUGAGCUCAAUCGGCACCCAAUGCCCAGUAAGUCAGGUCGAGGUGUAGCGUAUGAAAGGGUAUGCGAUGGGCUACAUUCUCUACUUUAGAGAAUUACGGAAGGUUAUUCCCUGAAAUAGGAACCUGAAGGUGGAUUUAGCAGUAAGAGUCGGAGAAGAGCGCCCCUCUGAAGUAGGCAAUGAAGCGUGCACACACCGCCCGUCACUCUCUCCUAGCACCUUCGCCAUAAACUUCUAUAAACAACUAGAUACGCACAGGAGAGGCAAGUCGUAACAUGGUAAGCGUACAAGAAAGUGCGCUUGGCUAAAC